rnacentral:rRNA from 1 species
AGCUACAGGCUUAACACAUGCAAGUCGAGGUUCAGCAUCAUCAAAGCUUGCUUUGAUGGAUGGCGACCGGCGCACGGGUGAGUAACACGUAUCCAACCUGCCGACAACACUGGGAUAGCCUUUCGAAAGAAAGAUUAAUACCGGAUGGCAUAAUUUUCCCGCAUGGGAUAAUUAUUAAAGAAUUUCGGUUGUCGAUGGGGAUGCGUUCCAUUAGGCAGUUGGCGGGGUAACGGCCCACCAAACCAACGAUGGAUAGGGGUUCUGAGAGGAAGGUCCCCCACAUUGGAACUGAGACACGGUCCAAACUCCUACGGGAGGCAGCAGUGAGGAAUAUUGGUCAAUGGACGAGAGUCUGAACCAGCCAAGUAGCGUGAAGGAUGACUGCCCUAUGGGUUGUAAACUUCUUUUAUACGGGAAUAAAGUUAGCCACGUGUGGCUUUUUGUAUGUACCGUAUGAAUAAGGAUCGGCUAACUCCGUGCCAGCAGCCGCGGUAAUACGGAGGAUCCGAGCGUUAUCCGGAUUUAUUGGGUUUAAAGGGAGCGUAGGCGGGUUGUUAAGUCAGUUGUGAAAGUUUGCGGCUCAACCGUAAAAUUGCAGUUGAUACUGGCGACCUUGAGUGCAACAGAGGUAGGCGGAAUUCGUGGUGUAGCGGUGAAAUGCUUAGAUAUCACGAAGAACUCCGAUUGCGAAGGCAGCUUACUGGAUUGUAACUGACGCUGAUGCUCGAAAGUGUGGGUAUCAAACAGGAUUAGAUACCCUGGUAGUCCACACAGUAAACGAUGAAUACUCGCUGUUGGCGAUAUACGGUCAGCGGCCAAGCGAAAGCAUUAAGUAUUCCACCUGGGGAGUACGCCGGCAACGGUGAAACUCAAAGGAAUUGACGGGGGCCCGCACAAGCGGAGGAACAUGUGGUUUAAUUCGAUGAUACGCGAGGAACCUUACCCGGGCUUAAAUUGCAACUGACGGAACCGGAAACGGUUCUUUCUUCGGACAGUUGUGAAGGUGCUGCAUGGUUGUCGUCAGCUCGUGCCGUGAGGUGUCGGCUUAAGUGCCAUAACGAGCGCAACCCUUACGGGUAGUUACCACCAGGUUAUGCUGGGGACUCUACCCGGACUGCCGUCGUAAGAUGUGAGGAAGGUGGGGAUGACGUCAAAUCAGCACGGCCCUUACGUCCGGGGCUACACACGUGUUACAAUGGGGGGUACAGAAGGUAGCUACACGGCGACGUGGUGCUAAUCCCAAAAGCCUCUCUCAGUUCGGAUUGGAGUCUGCAACCCGACUCCAUGAAGCUGGAUUCGCUAGUAAUCGCGCAUCAGCCACGGCGCGGUGAAUACGUUCCCGGGCCUUGUACACACCGCCCGUCAAGCCAUGAAAGCCGGGGGUACCUAAAGUACGUAACCGCGAGGAGCGUCCUAGGGUAAAACUGGUGAA